rnacentral:rRNA from 1 species
UACGUAGGGGGCAAGCGUUGUCCGGAAUCAUUGGGCGUAAAGCGCGUGUAGGCGGCCAGAUAAGUCCGCUGUGAAAUCUCGAGGCUCAACUUCGAGCUGUCGGUGGAAACUAUCUGGCUAGAGUCCGGAAGAGGAGAAUGGAAUUCCUGGUGUAGCGGUGAAAUGCGCAGAUAUCAGGAAGAACACCCGUGGCGAAGGCGGUUCUCUGGGACGGUACUGACGCUGAGACGCGAAAAGCGUGGGGAGCGAACAGG